rnacentral:rRNA from 1 species
AACGAACGCUGGCGGCAGGCCUAACACAUGCAAGUCGAACGCACCGCAAGGUGAGUGGCGCACGGGUGAGUAACACGUGGGAAUGUAUCCUUUGGUUCGGAAUAACGUCUGGAAACGGACGCUAAUACCGGAUGAGCCCUUAGGGGGAAAGAUUUAUCGCCGAAGGAGCAGCCCGCGUCUGAUUAGGUAGUUGGUGGGGUAAAGGCCUACCAAGCCGACGAUCAGUAGCUGGUCUGAGAGGAUGAUCAGCCACACUGGGACUGAGACACGGCCCAGACUCCUACGGGAGGCAGCAGUGGGGAAUAUUGGACAAUGGGCGCAAGCCUGAUCCAGCCAUGCCGCGUGAGUGAUGAAGGCCUUCGGGUUGUAAAGCUCUUUCGCACACGACGAUGAUGACGGUAGUGUGAGAAGAAGCCCCGGCUAACUUCGUGCCAGCCGCCGCAGUAA